GCAGGAGUGGCCAAACGGUAAGGUGAGCGCCUGCAGAGCGCUAGAUUGGGGGUUCAAAUCCCUCCUCCUGCU
rnacentral:tRNA from 1 species